UACGUAGGGUGCAAGCGUUGUCCGGAUUUAUUGGGCGUAAAGAGCUCGUAGGCGGUUUGUCGCGUCGGAUGUGAAAACCCAGGGCUCAACCCUGGGCCUGCAUUCGAUACGGGCAGACUAGAGUAUGGCAGGGGAGACUGGAAUUCCUGGUGGUAGCGGUGAAAUGCGCAGAUAUCAGGAGGAACACCGGUGGCCGAAGGCGGGUCUCUGGGCCAAAAACUGGACGCUGGAGGAGCGAAAGCGUGGGGAGCGAACAGG
rnacentral:rRNA from 1 species